UACGGAGGGGGCUAGCGUUGUUCGGAAUUACUGGGCGUAAAGCGCACGUAGGCGGCUUUGUAAGUUAGAGGUGAAAGCCCAGGGCUUAACCCUGGAAUUGCCUUUAAGACUGCAUCGCUAGAAUCGUGGAGAGGUGAGUGGAAUUCCUGGUGUAGCGGUGAAAUGCGCAGAUAUCAGGAGGAACACCGGUGGCGAAGGCGGGUCUCUGGGCCGAUACUGACGCUGAGGAGCGAAAGCAUGGGUAGCGAACAGG
rnacentral:rRNA from 1 species